GAUACUGUUCUGAGCUCAGCAAUCAGACUCCCUUGAAACCAAAGGUGCCCGACGUGUAGGAUCGCUGAUGGAGUCUUGUAUGUAUGCACCAGGAGUUCCACUCCCGCAAUGACGGUGUGCAUAUGUGUGUGACGAUAAAAAAAAAGAAAGAAAGGAGCCCGACGUGUGUUGGCGACACGCAGGAGCAGGGUCUGCCUUUCCGAGAGUCGUUUUGUUUUGCUCUUUGGGGGACAACAAAGCAGAUUGGAAGAGGAACUUUUCUCAAGCAGGGGCGUGGUUUCCAUUUGGCUCCGCUGAGGACACGAUGCAGGCGUGUGCACGUAUGGCUGCACCCUCGUGGGAUUCGUCAGCAGACAAAAUUUGGAACUAUCCCAGCGCACAGAACCCGUAUCAGUACCAGACACACGGUGGUGCCGAUUGGUCAACGACAUUCUCCAGUCAAGACGGCAGAUGCUACCAGAACGCCUCGGCUGUCCCCCACACCGGCUUCUCGAACCAGAAAUCGUCUGUGUGGAGCCCAGGAGCCAGUUCCUGCCCCCAAAGAGACGUUACAGCCUACCAGAAACCCUCAUCGGCAUUACAGGCCUUAUUCGGAAGGGUCGGUGGCCACAGCGUUGUACCCGAGCAGUUCUGUCAGAAUCCGUCAUCUUAUCCGCACAACGGCACACUCGCAACAAGUUUCCCUGGCCCCAACAGCAAUCAGACGCCUUGGCCGCAGCCGGACGCCAGGUCCACUUUACAGAACCCUUGGGAGAUUCACACCAGAAGGUUUGCUCAAGACGAUACGCAAUGGCACAUAAGACAUAGUGCUCAAGCCGUAGAGACCCAAGCAAAGAUGGCGGAGAGGACGUCAUUGGGCAAGCACGCGCAAUGCGCUCCGUAUUCAUCACCUCGCACAAUGCAGACACCAAAACAGCAAGCGGUGCAAGUGUUGCGUGUUCCCAGAGAGUCGUCACAGUCGAGCAAGCCUCACAGCAAUCGCAAGACGCCACCAAAUCCCAAUGCACUCAAACGCCUCACGACCGCCCGUUCGUCACGGAGUCGCUCAACUCGGCCAACGGUCGCUAGCGUGCGGCCUGUGCGAGAUGGAAGCCCACAGCUGGCUGGCCAAAUUCCUUCUGGCUUGAGUUGCAAUGACCAAACAGCAAGUCCAGUGAGGGAACGGCAGGACCAUCGUGCACCACCACAGUUCCAACCAGAAGAGCCUGAGGGUCGUGAAGAGAUGCCGCUCCUGCAGUCUCUGGCAACACGCAAGUGGACUUGUAAAGAUUUAGACGGACUUGUCCGGUACAUGGAGCAAGACUGGGAGAAGUCGCCUGAAUGUCCAGUCCUCUCAGGUUCUGAUGAUGUAAUCGCCACGUUCUGGAAAGAUAGAAAAAUACUGGAGGACAAGAUCCGCGCAGGCUUAUACUAUGAGAUCAUGGCAGAGACGUUCACUUUCUCCCGUGAGCAUGUGACCUCAGACUCUGUGGUGCUGUCGGAGCCCAAGUGCGACCCCAACCUCAGCGGCUUCCGGGUGCUGCGAGACGGCGAGGUCUACUCCGAACCGCCGUACUCUUCGUUCUGGCGCAACGUCAACCCGCUGCUCCACGACUCGUUGGAUCACGCACCAGUUGCAAGUCCACCUUUGUCAUCUGCGCCCGAGACCGCGGCGGCUCAGUCACCAGAGGCCGAACAAGAACCACUGGAACCAAAAGAAGAUGAAAAAGCACAACAGGCCCGAGUGCUGGGCUCUCCCGGUGAAGAUUCAGACGUCUACUCGUUCGUCAUUGAGGUUUUGCCCCAGGAACAGGCCAAAGCGAUCUACGAGAGUAUCAACCACGCAGAGGAGACUCCCGCCAAGGGGGACCCCCAAGGCUCAGCCGAGACUGCGACGAGCGCCGACAAAGGGGAGAAGGAUCUGUUUGAGUCAGAGUUGGAGUUUUUCUUUGAACAGUGGAAAGAUAUCCUCUCCGAUUUCAAUUUUUCCCCAAAACAAGAGAGGGCGCAGAAUGAGGUGCUAGCGGACAUGAGAUGGCAAAAUCCUGACCUCUCCCUCCUCGGUGUGGAUGCAGAUGAUCACUCCCUGGAUUCCAACCAGUCCCACAAUGCUUCUCCACUGAUAGAGCAGAAGGACCAUCAAGAAACGGGAAAGUUUGGCACACAAAAUGACCACGCGUGGGUAAAGCUUGAUGACCGAGAGAUGUCAAGCCAGCAAGAUGAGCGAGAAUUGGCUCACGUCUCCCAACAAGAUGAGCAAGAGACGGGAAAGGUCUCGCAACAAGAUGAGCCAGAGACGGGAAAGGUCUCCCAACAAGAUGAGCAAGAGACGGGAAAGGUCUCCCAACAAGAUGAGCCAGAGACGGGAACCGUCCCCCAAGGAACAGACACCCAACCAGAUCAGCAAGUGACGGGAAAGGUCUCACAACAAAGACAAGAAGAGACGGGAACGGCCACCCAACCAGAUGAGCAAGAGACGGUGGGAAAGGUCUGGCAACAAGAACAUGAAGAGACGGGAACGGCCACCCAACAGACGACAAAGGUCUCACCCAAAGACAAUGUCCGAGAAAGGACAAAUGUCUUAGUUUUACCAUCUAAAGUUUCUUGUCCACCCCACGGUCAUCGUAGUCGUGCCGCUAAAGUGUACCGAGGAGAGAGGACGCUCUGCCUUGCCGGUAAACGUGUGGCGGCUGCAAAGAAAAAACGCAAGAGAAGCAAGCAGUCCGUCAUCAGUGUCGCCUUCAUGAAGAAGCUGAAGAUCCACCUUGUCCGCCGGGACGUCAGCAAACGCAGCAAAGAAGCUGCGACUCCCAAGCUGGUCCUCUUUGGCUCGGCCGGACGUGGGCGCAGCUGCGCUCUGGACCAUCGCGCACCCGAGGUUCUAAGCGUCAACGCUAAAAGCCGGAGUUCCGCCAAACAGAGGAUCUACGAGGCUUGGUGUCUGCCCCCCGUCAAGAUCGACGGCAAAAGCAAAGUCCAAUCUCGGCACAAGUCCUGCGCGGACGUGGCCGGAAAAGACCCCCCUUUGCCCACCUUGACCUUCAGGAAAGCCCACGGCAGGCUGUCUGUCUUUGACCCGCAACACAAGAAGCUCCAGGCUAGACGGACCCACUGCUGAUGGGAUGCUGAGGAGCGGUACUGAGCGUCACUGCGGUGAACUUGAGUGGGCGAGAGAAAGACCAUCCCGGGAACGCCGCCUUGGCUCGGUUGCCAGGGGAACGUUCGCCGGGACAACGGCAACCACCCUGGCGACGGGUAAACUUUUGAUUUCAACCGUCAUGACGGCGACUUGCAGGCUCAAGUUGACACGAUCCAGAGCGCUUCUCCUGCCAACUGGGUUCCCUCCCAGCUGCCGUCGGCCAUUUGAGUGACCGCGACAGAGGUCGACAGAGCCAAACAACAUCUGAGGCCUCCCUUGGGAAGGACUCCUCGAGCCUCUGCAAUCUGGAAAUUCCCUUUGGCCCAUUUGUUCAUGUGACAGAUGACUCCAGUCACGUUCGCCGACAACCAGAUGGGCUUCUUCUUGGUUUAGUUUGGUUAAAUUUAUUGAACAUACAAACAUAACAUAAAAUGUUUAUAUUCAUGGGAAAUGAGAAUGUGUGGUAAAUUUUUAUUCUGGUAUCAUGCAAUGUAUAUCUCACUAGUAAGCCGAAGUGUGACCGGGUCAUGUUCGGGUCAGGUUCGUGCGGGAUUGUUUGGGGCUUGGUCCAGGAACGUAGACUCAUUGGCACCAGACACAUCUGGUUUCCAUUA